GAUGAACGCUGGCGGCGUGCCUAAUACAUGCCAGUCGAGCGAACAGACGAGGAGCUUGCUCCUCUGACGUUAGCGGCGGACGGGUGAGUAACACGUGGAUAACCUACCUAUAAGACUGGGAUAACUUCGGGAAACCGGAGCUAAUACCGGGUAAUAUAUUGAACCGCGUGGUUCAAUAGUGAAAGACGGUUUUGCUGUCACUUAUAGAUGGAUCCGCGCCGCAUUAGCUAGUUGGUAAGGUAACGGCUUACCAAGGCAACGAUGCGUAGCCGACCUGAGAGGGUGAUCGGCCACACUGGAACUGAGACACGGUCCAGACUCCUACGGGAGGCAGCAGUAGGGAAUCUUCCGCAAUGGGCGAAAGCCUGACGGAGCAACGCCGCGUGAGUGAUGAAGGUCUUCGGAUCGUAAAACUCUGUUAUUAGGGAAGAACAAAUGUGUAAGUAACUAUGCACGUCUUGACGGUACCUAAUCAGAAAGCCACGGCUAACUACGUG
rnacentral:rRNA from 1 species